UGGUAUUCUGUCAGAAGGACUAGUGUCAU
rnacentral:piRNA from 1 species